AGAAUCAAAGAGGACUGGAGGCGC
rnacentral:piRNA from 1 species